rnacentral:rRNA from 1 species
GAGCUAUAAGUAAGCUUUGAUCCGGAGAUUUCCGAAUGGGGGAACCCAGUACACAUCAGUGUAUUGCCUGCAAGUGAAUACAUAGCUUGUUGGCGGCAGACGCGGGGAACUGAAACAUCUCAGUACCCGCAGGAAGAGAAAGAAAACUCGAUUCCCAUAGUAGCGGCGAGCGAAGUGGGAAGAGCCCAAACCGAGAAGCUUGCUUCUCGGGG